GACGAACGCUGGCGGCGUGCUUAACACAUGCAAGUCGAACGGAAAGGCCCUGCUUUUGUGGGGUGUUCGAGUGGCGAACGGGUGAGUAACACGUGAGUAACCUGCCCUUGACUUUGGGAUAACUUCAGGAAACUGGGACUAAUACCGGAUAGGAGCUCCUGCUGCAUGGUGGGGGUUGGAAAGUUUCGGCGGUUGGGGAUGGACUCGCGGCUUAUCAGCUUGUUGGUGGGGUAGUGGCUUACCAAGGCUUUGACGGGUAGCCGGCCUGAGAGGGUGACCGGCCACAUUGGGACUGAGAUACGGCCCAGACUCCUACGGGAGGCAGCAGUGGGGAAUAUUGCACAAUGGGCGGAAGCCUGAUGCAGCAACGCCGCGUGCGGGAUGACGGCCUUCGGGUUGUAAACCGCUUUCGCCUGUGACGAAGCGUGAGUGACGGUAAUGGGUAAAGAAGCACCGGCUAACUACGUG
rnacentral:rRNA from 1 species